rnacentral:rRNA from 1 species
UACGAAGGGGGCAAGCGAUGUUCGGAUUUACUGGGCGUAAAGGGCGAGUAGGCGGUUCAGCAAGUCAGAGGUGAAAGCCCUGGGCUCAACCAGGGAAUGACUUUUGAGACUGCAAGUCUUGAGUGCGAGAGAGGGUGGCUGAAUACCCAGUGUAGAGGUGAAAUUCGUAGAUAUUGGGUAGAACAACGGUGGCGAGGGCGGCCACCUGUCUCGCAACUGACGCUGAGGCGCGAAAGCGUGGGUAGCAAACAGG